UUUGCCUUUCCUCUUUCAUCGCUCUUGACCUAACUCCUCCUUGUAACCAAGCAUCCAAGCCUCCUCACGAGCAAGUCGUGCACCUCGCAUGGUGGUGAGGACGACUGGGCUAUGGCGACAAGGACGCCCACGGCGGCAAGGACGCUCGCGGCCGCUUCAAAGCCGCCAUUGGUAAGCCUCCAGUGCUCAACAUCGUCGCCUUCGCCAAGAUCGAAAGAGACCAAAUUAAGGUUUUUUUCUUCCCCAAAUCGCAUUGUAGAAUCUAAGUUUUUAAAUCCACCCAUGCUCCACCACCAUCCAUGACCUCCUCUGGAACCAUAGCCUCCCCAACAAGCUGAUCCCCAAGUUCGUCAAGUGCUUCUCCUACGACGACGCCUUUGGUCUCCUCGAGGUCCGACUCUAUGGCCCCUGCUAUGCGCACUACGAAGACGGGCUCACCUACUUCGACAACGAGGUGCGGGGGAACCUCAGCUACGACACUCUGUAGGGUGGUCGGGUGGGCGCAGGAGGAGCUGUUCCUUAAAUUCCUGGUUAUGGGGAUCAUGGUCACCGAUCCCACCUUUGGCGUGAUCCUCUUCGACAUUGGCAUUGUGCGCAAGCGCCUUGCCGCCUCCGCCUUUGACCCGCCGCCAGAAUACCUCCUGGAAGUGGAAGAAGUGACCAUCGGAUUAGGUGAGUAGACCCGAUUGAAAAUGAAGCAAUUUUGCCCGGCUGCAUUUCCUUUCAUGUUGGAUUAGGGAUUGAUUUUGGUGUGAUUGUUGCUGCAUUUGUUGGCUACUGGAUGAUUGACAUCUACUUCCUCUACAUUUUCUAUUUCUUCUUGCUUUCCAACUAAAGAUUGAUUUUUUUUCCAUUGACAAUCUGUUCUCUUCUGCAAAAUAUGAUCUUCAUGUUGUAAAUUUCUUAAUUUUUCUGGAAUUAAACUUCAACAUACAUCCAUUUCGAAUAGCAAUGCUUGUUGUCAAGACAAACCUUUAUUCUUUGACAUUUCUUGUUUACUUCAAUGUUGAUUCUACCAAUGUGACAUUUUGUUGAUUAAUAUUUCUUUAGUGUUUCUUCUGCUUAGUUGAUUUUGAUUUUAGUCUGUAUUUCCUUUUGCAAGUUUUGGCUUUUGCUUCUCCAAAUAUGUUGAGUUCCACACACUAGAACCUUGCUUACAAGCAACCGCUUAAUUAUUUUGCUUCAUUUCAUUGUCAAUGGUGUGCCAACUUGCUUGCCAAAGGCUUGGAAAUUAGUUCAACCUGUGUCCUCCAUUUCUGUCACAAGAUUUCUGGAUACUAUAUUAAAUUAGUUACUGAGAUUAUUUUGCAAUUGCAAUCUCUUACUUAUGGUUAUAUUUCCUCUUGAGUUGUGCAGUCCUUGUUUUUAGUUUUGUUCCUUUCUUGUGCAAUUCUCUGUUGCUUCAAGUAUGAGUAAUUUUUCAACAUUAUUCGAGCUGAACUCAUUGAAUGUGUCUGUGUUUUCUUAGUUCCUUUGCAGAGUCAUUGUGAAUAGUUGGACAAUUUCUUCAUUAGAGUUGAUCAUCACAAAAAAAAAGUACUCCUAAAUUUCCUUUUCAUUUUUCAACAUUCAUUUUUCUUCAUAAGCUUAUGGUGCAUUGUAAAUGCAAUAAUGUUCUUCAAACCAUUUCACUGCCUGUUUUUCAUCUCUUUAGUAAUUCAUAAAAUUGCCAAUGGUUGCACUACUCGAUGAAGUUAAGAUCCAAGGUUUUGUUCUUAUUGCAAAGGAUUUAUUUUCAACUUUCAAAGAUGAGGCUAUCUUCUUCAAAUCUCUCUGAUCACCAAAAGAAGGUGUCAAUGAUACUUCCAUUUAUUCAAAAUAUUUGACAAUCUUCAAGUUCUAUGUGAAGCCUUUACAAAGAUUCAAAAUAUUUAUUUCUAUUAUUGGAAAAUAUGUCUGCAUUCUUCUUUUAAUUUUUAGCAACGGUAUCAAAGAGUUCGCGGAUAACAAAUCGACUUGAGUUAGUGAACAAAAUAGAGAAAAACAAAAUGUUGAUGACUACUCUACUCAUUCUUCAUUCAAUCUUCAAUAAUGAUGUGAUGUAAUGGGUGAAAAAUUUGUUAGAAGAUGGCAGUCUACAAUGAUGUGAUGUGAUGGGAUGGGUGAAUCAUGCAAGGGGAUGGUGUAUGAACUUCAACGCGAUCGACACUUUGGAAGAUAAAAUAAUUAAAGUUUCAACAGAUUUUCUCUAAUAAGAUGAAUACAAAAUUAUCACAAGAAAUUGAAGACAUGCAUACUACUAGCAAGAGGAUGGAGGAAGAAAUUAUUAAAAGGAAAAGAAAAUUGGAAUCGUAAUGUAUGAUUGCUUUUAUCUCAAGACUAUGUGAAUGUUUAUUUAUCUUAAUGGUAAUCAUAUUGUACUGUUAGAUUUAGAAAUUAGUUAUUUUAAUAUUUUUAA